rnacentral:rRNA from 1 species
GGUCAAGUGAAGAAGCGCAUACGGUGGAUGCCUUGGCAGUCAGAGGCGAUGAAAGACGUGGUAGCCUGCGAAAAGCUUCGGGGAGUCGGCAAACAGACUUUGAUCCGGAGAUCUCUGAAUGGGGGAACCCACCUAGGAUAACCUAGGUAUCUUGUACUGAAUCCAUAGGUGCAAGAGGCGAACCAGGGGAACUGAAACAUCUAAGUACCCUGAGGAAAAGAAAUCAACCGAGAUUCCCUUAGUAGUGGCGAGCGAACGGGGAUUAGCCCUUAAGCUUCAUUGAUUUUAGCGGAACGCUCUGGAAAGUGCGGCCAUAGUGGGUGAUAGCCCCGUACGCGAAAGGAUCUUUGAAGUGAAAUCGAGUAGGACGGAGCACGAGAAACUUUGUCUGAACAUGGGGGGACCAUCCUCCAAGGCUAAAUACUACUGACUGACCGAUAGUGAACCAGUACCGUGAGGGAAAGGCGAAAAGAACCCCGGAGAGGGGAGUGAAAUAGAACCUGAAACCGUAUGCGUACAAGCAGUGGGAGCCUACUUGUUAGGUGACUGCGUACCUUUUGUAUAAUGGGUCAGCGACUUAUAUUCAGUGGCAAGCUUAACCGUAUAGGGUAGGCGUAGCGAAAGCGAGUCUUAAUAGGGCGUUUAGUCGCUGGGUAUAGACCCGAAACCGGGCGAUCUAUCCAUGAGCAGGUUGAAGGUUAGGUAACACUGACUGGAGGACCGAACCCACUCCCGUUGAAAAGGUAGGGGAUGACUUGUGGAUCGGAGUGAAAGGCUAAUCAAGCUCGGAGAUAGCUGGUUCUCCUCGAAAGCUAUUUAGGUAGCGCCUCAUGUAUCACUCUGGGGGGUAGAGCACUGUUUCGGCUAGGGGGUCAUCCCGACUUACCAAACCGAUGCAAACUCCGAAUACCCAGAAGUGCCGAGCAUGGGAGACACACGGCGGGUGCUAACGUCCGUCGUGAAAAGGGAAACAACCCAGACCGCCAGCUAAGGUCCCAAAGUUGUGGUUAAGUGGUAAACGAUGUGGGAAGGCUUAGACAGCUAGGAGGUUGGCUUAGAAGCAGCCACCCUUUAAAGAAAGCGUAAUAGCUCACUAGUCGAGUCGGCCUGCGCGGAAGAUGUAACGGGGCUCAAACCACACACCGAAGCUGCGGGUGUCACGUAAGUGACGCGGUAGAGGAGCGUUCUGUAAGCCUGUGAAGGUGAGUUGAGAAGCUUGCUGGAGGUAUCAGAAGUGCGAAUGCUGACAUGAGUAACGACAAUGGGUGUGAAAAACACCCACGCCGAAAGACCAAGGGUUCCUGCGCAACGUUAAUCGACGCAGGGUUAGUCGGUUCCUAAGGCGAGGCUGAAAAGCGUAGUCGAUGGGAAACAGGUUAAUAUUCCUGUACUUCUGGUUACUGCGAUGGAGGGACGGAGAAGGCUAGGCCAGCUUGGCGUUGGUUGUCCAAGUUUAAGGUGGUAGGCUGAAAUCUUAGGUAAAUCCGGGGUUUCAAGGCCGAGAGCUGAUGACGAGUCGUCUUUUAGAUGACGAAGUGGUUGAUGCCAUGCUUCCAAGAAAAGCUUCUAAGCUUCAGGUAACCAGGAACCGUACCCCAAACCGACACAGGUGGUCGGGUAGAGAAUACCAAGGCGCUUGAGAGAACUCGGGUGAAGGAACUAGGCAAAAUGGCACCGUAACUUCGGGAGAAGGUGCGCCGGCUAGGGUGAAGGAUUUACUCCGUAAGCUCUGGCUGGUCGAAGAUACCAGGCCGCUGCGACUGUUUAUUAAAAACACAGCACUCUGCAAACACGAAAGUGGACGUAUAGGGUGUGACGCCUGCCCGGUGCCGGAAGGUUAAUUGAUGGGGUUAGCGCAAGCGAAGCUCUUGAUCGAAGCCCCGGUAAACGGCGGCCGUAACUAUAACGGUCCUAAGGUAGCGAAAUUCCUUGUCGGGUAAGUUCCGACCUGCACGAAUGGCGUAACGAUGGCGGCGCUGUCUCCACCCGAGACUCAGUGAAAUUGAAAUCGCUGUGAAGAUGCAGUGUAUCCGCGGCUAGACGGAAAGACCCCGUGAACCUUUACUGUAGCUUUGCACUGGACUUUGAGCCUGCUUGUGUAGGAUAGGUGGGAGGCUUUGAAGCGUGGACGCCAGUUCGCGUGGAGCCAUCCUUGAAAUACCACCCUGGCAUGCUU